AUUGAACGCUGGCGGCAUGCUUUACACAUGCAAGUCGAACGGCAGCGCGGGCUUCGUCCUGGCGGCGAGUGGCGAACGGGUGAGUAAUGCAUCGGAACGUGCCCAGUAGUGGGGGAUACCCCGGCGAAAGCCGGAUUAAUACCGCAUACGACCUGAGGGUGAAAGCGGGGGACCUAAAUGCCUCGCGCUAUUGUAGCGUUCGAUGUCGGAUUAGCUAGUUGGUGGGGUAAAGGCUUACCAAGGCGACGAUCCGUAGCUGGUCUGAGAGGACGACCAGCCACACUGGGACUGGAACACGGCCCAGACUCCUACGGGAGGCAGCAGUGGGGAAUUUUGGACAAUGGGGGCAACCCUGAUCCAGCCAUGCCGCGUGCGGGAAGAAGGCCUUCGGGUUGUAAACCGCUUUUGUUCGGGAAGAAAUCCUCUGGGCUAAUACCCCGGGGGGAUGACGGUACCGGAAGAAUAAGCACCGGCUAACUACGUG
rnacentral:rRNA from 1 species